GGAAGUCACUAGUCUGUGCCUUCCUUACCUCCCAUGGUUUCUGCACCUUCAUUUCCAAAGGCAAGUGAAAACAGUGCCAGGCUGUGCACAUGGGUAACUCCAGGGACUUCUCCUCCUCCCAUUUCCCCUAAAGCAUUUGACAGUUAGACCUUGGAACUGAGUCCAGCAGCACUAGGUCAGAGUGAUGGCUAAAGCUAAAGCAAACUGGAUUCUGUUCAGGAGGUUCUCCUUUGUCAUUUUUAUCUCCAAAUAGAAGACCUCUGUCUUCCCAGAAGAUUAAAUAAUAGAAAAGAAUAAUAGCCCAAGGUCUGGGACAGAGCCUGCCUUUCUAUCGAGCUUCUGGUGAUGGGAUGUCGCUGGUCUCAUCCACAAUUUGAGUAGCAAGAGCCCUGGACAACUUUCAGGAAGACAGUUCUGAUCUGUAGCAAUUAACACAUGGUCAUCCUCAGAGAAAGGAGAUACCCAUAGCUUAAAAUACAGGAACCAAGAACUUUGAGCCUAGACAUUUGGAUGAAAAGUGAUUUCCACCUGGAGAAAGUCAUUGCCCUUCUGUGCAGAGCUUUGCCACAAGGAAAUGGGGUGAGACUUUGUCAUGUAUGUCAUUGAAGUUCAGCUAUGCAAAAACGUUCACCUAUCCUUGAUCGACCAGUCCAGGAACCAUCAGAGAAGGAAAUGAGAUUCGACUAUAAGACCUGUUCUUUACAAACCCCUGCACAGCCCUAAUGAUCAACACCACUUCCAGUGCUCAUAAAUUACUGCUUCAAUAAUUGUUCUGCAAUUCUGCCUAUUCUCAUUGAAUGCUUUGUAUAAUCCCUUUAUCUACUUUGGGCUCCAAUUCAUUUUUAUCAGUGAGUAUUGUACUUGUUUCAUCUCAAAAAUCAUUCUCUUUGAGAAAAAAAAAGAACGGGGUUGAGGAAUCCUGCUUUCUCUUUUGUCCACAUAUCUUCUGUUAUCAGAAGGGGGCUUAUAUUUCUUGUGAACUUCUUGUGCUGAUUUUAACUUUAGAAAGCUCUCCUGUUUUCCAUGUAUGAACAAGCAUGAGAAAUGUGAAGGGCAAUCAGGUAUGAGAUAUUGUCAAGUAUGUGACUUGAGGGACAAGUGAUCUAUGUGAGCCUGAAGGGAAUCCUGGGAUUGAGAGAGCAUGCAGAGAAGGCACAUAGGUGUGCUAGGGCAUGGAGGUUGUACAGAGAUGGACGGGGAGACAAUUUGAGUGACAGAGGUUUUCUAUAUGGUGGGAGUAGUGUGGGUUGGCAUCUAUCAGGGAGACCAACUGACCAUAUCCCCCUGUUCACUUUUAGCCACAAGUACAAGGCUAUAAGAACUCAAGAGGUCAUCUAAGUUAUUUCUGGCUCUGUCAGGUCAAAUGACUACUAGACUAUCCUGGUUUCUAAUUUGAAAUGUAUCCAAAGAAGAUUCCUGUCUCACCCUCUGCGAUCCACUUGCAUGUCUGACCACACUUGGUACCUACACAAUCUUCACUUUGUCUAGCCUACAUUCUUCUAACUGUGGUCUAAGGCCUUGGAAGAAUGAUGCCUCUGUGGGGUAAGAACUGCCUUGGUGGCAUGAGAAAGGCAGCCCUGAGCGAUCUGGAAGGGCUGUUGCAAGGGGAUAGGAGUACUGAGGCCUUUUCCAGUAAGAAUACACAGGACUAUGGAGACUCUUGUUUUACUAGAAACCUUCUUCACAGAUACCUUAAUCUAGGAAGAAAACACCUUUGGUUCUUGGUUCUACUAUUGGCUUCAAAUUCUUGGGCAUGCCAGACCCUACUGAACAUCUUGACACAUGUCCUGUCUUUUCUGAACUGGCCCACAGGCAUGAUGAGUAACCAGAGGGGGCCCAGCAGGUACUGAUGAUGGGUGUGGUCCCUGUGUUAUUCGGUCAAAGCAGCAGAAUCUCAAACUUAAGACUGAUCCUGUAUGCCAGUUGGGGCAGGAUGGACUCAAAACAUCCUAGGAGAAGAAUAAGGUCUCCUGAGGAGGUUCUGC